CGUGUACGUACAAGCAGUGGGAGCCUCUUAAUGGGGUGACUGCGUACCUUUUGUAUAAUGGGUCAGCGACUUAUAUUCUGUAGCAAGGUUAACCGAAUAGGGGAGCCGAAGGGAAACCGAGUCUUAACUGGGCGUUAAGUUGCAGGGUAUAGACCCGAAACCCGGUGAUCUAGCCAUGGGCAGGUUGAAGGUUGGGUAACACUAACUGGAGGACCGAACCGACUAAUGUUGAAAAAUUAGCGGAUGACUUGUGGCUGGGGGUGAAAGGCCAAUCAAACCGGGAGAUAGCUGGUUCUCCCCGAAAGCUAUUUAGGUAGCGCCUCGUGAAUUCAUCUCCGGGGGUAGAGCACUGUUUCGGCAAGGGGGUCAUCCCGACUUACCAACCCGAUGCAAACUGCGAAUACCGGAGAAUGUUAUCACGGGAGACACACGGCGGGUGCUAACGUCCGUCGUGAAGAGGGAAACAACCCAGACCGCCAGCUAAGGUCCCAAAGUCAUGGUUAAGUGGGAAACGAUGUGGGAAGGCCCAGACAGCCAGGAUGUUGGCUUAGAAGCAGCCAUCAUUUAAAGAAAGCGUAAUAGCUCACUGGUCGAGUCGGCCUGCGCGGAAGAUGUAACGGGGCUAAACCAUGCACCGAAGCUGCGGCAGCGACACUAUGUGUUGUUGGGUAGGGGAGCGUUCUGUAAGCC
rnacentral:rRNA from 1 species